rnacentral:rRNA from 1 species
UACGUAGGGGGCUAGCGUUGUCCGGAAUCAUUGGGCGUAAAGCGCGCGUAGGCGGCCCGGUAAGUCCGCUGUGAAAGUCCAGGGCUCAACCCUGGAAAGCCGGUGGAUACUGCCGGGCUAGAGUCCGGAAGAGGCGAGUGGAAUUCCUGGUGUAGCGGUGAAAUGCGCAGAUAUCAGGAGGAACACCGGUGGCGAAGGCGGGUCUCUGGGCCGAUACUGACGCUGAGGAGCGAAAGCGUGGGGAGCAAACAGG